rnacentral:rRNA from 1 species
UACAGAGGUCCCAAGCGUUGUUCGGAUUUAUUGGGCGUAAAGGGUGCGUAGGCGGCGCCGUAAGUCAGGUGUGAAAUCUCGGGGCUUAACUCCGAAACUGCAUUUGAUACUGCGGUGCUUGAGGACUGGAGAGGAGAGUGGAAUUUACGGUGUAGCGGUGAAAUGCGCAGAUAUCGGGAGGAACACCGGUGGCGAAGGCGGUUCUCUGGGCCUUACCUGACGCUGAGGAGCGAAAGCGUGGGGAGCAAACAGG